ACACUGCUUGGAGUCAGGUCACACCUGUGUCCUUGGUGUCACCCUGACCGCAAGGCUACAGAAGACUGGACAGUCUUUUAUCCCGGGAGAAAAAUAUGGGAUCCUUUGGAAAGAGAGGAAGGGCAUCUCAGGAGGAGGGACUAGGAUGG